UUAACUUGUUUUUUUGUUUUUACUCGGACGUGCCACUGGGUUACAGCAAGAGUUUUGGUUGCGCUCCCCCGGCGGGAGCCCGGCUCGGGCCGGGCCCCGGGGCCCCUCCCAGGGGCCUCCCGCCGAAGCAACAGAUAAAGGUAUGUUCACAAAGGGUUUAAGAGUACGAGUACUCCUUUCGUAAUGAUCCCUCCGCUGGUUCACCAACGGAGA
rnacentral:misc_RNA from 1 species